GACGAACGCUGGCGGCGUGCCUAAUACAUGCAAGUCGAACGCUGAAGAGAGGAGCUUGCUCUUCUUGGAUGAGUUGCGAACGGGUGAGUAACGCGUAGGUCACCUGCCUUGUAGCGGGGGAUAACUACUUGAAACGAUAGCUAAUACUGCAUCACAAUGGAUGACACAUGUCACUUAUUUGAUAGGGGCAAUUGCCCCACUACUAGAUCGAUCUGAGGUGUAUUAGCUAGUAGGUGAGGUAACGGCUCACCUAGGCGACCGUACAUAGUCGGCCUGGGUGGGUGGUCCGCCAAACUUGGACUGGGACACCGCCCAGACUCCUACGGGGAGCAGCAGUAGGGGAAUAUCGGCAAUGGGGGGAAACCUGACCGAAGAAAGCCGCGUGGGUGAAAGAAGGUUUCCGAUUGUAAAACUCUGUUGGAAGUCAAAGAAAAGUAGGAGGGUAAAAAGUUCACAUUGUGACGGUAGCUAACGAAAAAGCGACGGCUAACUACGUG
rnacentral:rRNA from 1 species